GGUGGGGACGCUGUGUAAGGAACAUGCUCUUACCUCCCUGCUGGUGUGUGCCGCCUGGGACGUUAUACUGCACAGAAAACACGUGAGAAGGUUACUGACCAAGCAGCCGCCAGACACAAAGUGCUUGAGGUCCUUUCCGGAGACUCUUCUGGUUAGCUGUAAUGGGCUCGGUCAUACUGAUGGUUCGUCUGUGGGUACUGAGAGGGUCGCCUCCUAUGUUCAGUGACCAGGACAACCCAGCCUCCUUCUGCCCCUCACUACUGACGAGAGCACUGACGUUCUCAUACCUGCCCUCGUUCAACGCCUGGCUGCUGUUGUGUCCAUGGAGUUGUCCCAUGACUGGCAAAUGGGCUCUAUCCCCUCCUUCCUUACCUCCUUGGGCGACCCCAGGAACACUGCCUCCCUCCUCCUCUACACCUCCCUAGCCCUGAUCCUGAGAGCUGGUUGUCUGAGCA